UACGAAGGUGGCAAGCGUUACUCGGAAUUACUAGGCGUAAAGGGCAGGUAGGUGGUUUGGUAAGUCUGUUGUGGAAGCUCCCGGCUUAACUGGGAGAGGCCAACGGAAACUACCAAACUUGAGUGUAGGAGAGGGUACUGGAAUUCCCGGUGUAGCGGUGAAAUGCGCAGAGAUCGGGAGGAACACCAAUGGCGAAAGCAGGUACCUGGACUAUUACUGACACUAAGCUGCGAAAGCUAGGGGAGCAAACAGG
rnacentral:misc_RNA from 1 species